rnacentral:rRNA from 1 species
AGCAGCCGCGGUAAUUCCAGCUCCAAUAGCGUAUAAUAAAGUUGUUGCAGUUAAAAAGCUCGUAGUUGAAUUUCGGGAUCAAGGAAUCGGUCAUGCCUUGGUAUGUACUGGUUUUAUUGGUUCUCACCUUCUAAAGAACCAUAAUGUCAUUUAUUUGAUGUUAUGGGGAAUUAGGACUGUUACCUUGAAAAAAUUAGAGUGUUUAAAGCAGGCUCACGCUUGAAUACAUUAGCAUGGAAUAAUGAAAUAGGACGUUUGAUUCUAUUUUGUUGGUUUCUAGGAUCGACGUAAUGAUUAAUAGGGAUAGUUGGGGGCAUUAGUAUUCAAUUGUCAGAGGUGAAAUUCUUGGAUUUAUUGAAGACUAACUACUGCGAAAGCAUUUGCCAAGGAUGUUUUCAUUAAUCAAGAACGAAAGUUAGGGGAUCGAAGACGAUCAGAUACCGUCGUAGUCUUAACCAUAAACUAUGCCGACUAGGGAUCGGAUGAUGUUAAUUUUUAAUGACUCAUUCGGCGCCUUACG